rnacentral:rRNA from 1 species
GAGACUGGCGCACGGGUGCGUAACGCGUAUGCAAUCUACCUUUUACAGGGGAAUAGCCCAGAGAAAUUUGGAUUAAUGCCCCAUAGUAUGUAUGAAUCGCAUGGUUUAUAUAUUAAAGUUCCAACGGUAAAAGAUGAGCAUGCGUCCCAUUAGUUAGUUGGUAAGGUAACGGCUUACCAAGACGAUGAUGGGUAGGAGUCCUGAGAGGGAGAUCCCCCACACUGGUACUGAGACACGGACCAGACUCCUACGGGAGGCAGCAGUGAGGAAUAUUGGACAAUGGGCGCAAGCCUGAUCCAGCCAUGCCGCGUGCAGGAAGAAGCAUCUAUGGUGUGUAAACUGCUUUUGUACAGGAAGAAACACUCCCUCGUGAGGGAGCUUGACGGUACUGUAAGAAUAAGGAUCGGCUAACUCCGUGCCAGCAGCCGCGGUAAUACGGAGGAUCCAAGCGUUAUCCGGAAUCAUUGGGUUUAAAGGGUCCGUAGGCGGUUUGAUAAGUCAGUGGUGAAAGCCCAUCGCUCAACGAUGGAACGGCCAUUGAUACUGUCAGACUUGAAUUACUAGGAAGUAACUAGAAUAUGUAGUGUAGCGGUGAAAUGCUUAGAUAUUACAUGGAAUACCAAUUGCGAAGGCAGGUUACUACUAGUGGAUUGACGCUGAUGGACGAAAGCGUGGGGAGCGAACAGGAUUAGAUACCCUGGUAGUCCACGCCGUAAACGAUGGAUACUAGCUGUUGGGAGUAAUCUCAGUGGCUAAGCGAAAGUGAUAAGUAUCCCACCUGGGGAGUACGUUCGCA